AGUUCGUAUCCGUCGGCGUACAGGACGAACGCUGGCGGCGCGCCUAACACAUGCAAGUCGACGGAGUCUGUUUUCUCUGAAGUUUUCGGAUGGAAGAGAGUUCAGCUUAGUGGCGAACGGGUGAGUAACACGUGAGCAACCUGCCUUUCAGUGGGGGACAACAUUUGGAAACGAAUGCUAAUACCGCAUAAGACCACAGUGUCGCAUGGCACAGGGGUCAAAGGAUUUAUCCGCUGAAAGAUGGGCUCGCGUCCGAUUAGCUAGAUGGUGAGGUAACGGCCCACCAUGGCGACGAUCGGUAGCCGGACUGAGAGGUUGAACGGCCACAUUGGGACUGAGACACGGCCCAGACUCCUACGGGAGGCAGCAGUGGGGAAUAUUGCACAAUGGGGGAAACCCUGAUGCAGCGACGCCGCGUGGAGGAAGAAGGUCUUCGGAUUGUAAACUCCUGUCCCAGGGGACGAUAAUGACGGUACCCUGGGAGGAAGCACCGGCUAACUACGUG
rnacentral:rRNA from 1 species